rnacentral:rRNA from 1 species
GGCGAUGAAGGACGUGCUAAUCUGCGAUAAGCGUCGGUAAGGUGAUAUGAACCGUUAUAACCGGCGAUUUCCGAAUGGGGAAACCCAGUGUGUUUCGACACACUAUCAUUAACUGAAUCCAUAGGUUAAUGAGGCGAACCGGGGGAACUGAAACAUCUAAGUACCCCGAGGAAAAGAAAUCAACCGAGAUUCCCCCAGUAGCGGCGAGCGAACGGGGAGCAGCCCAGAGCCUGAAUCAGUGUGUGUGUUAGUGGAAGCGUCUGGAAAGGCGCGCGAUACAGGGUGACAGCCCCGUACACAAAAAUGCACAUGCUGUGAGCUCGAUGAGUAGGGCGGGACACGUGGUAUCCUGUCUGAAUAUGGGGGGACCAUCCUCCAAGGCUAAAUACUCCUGACUGACCGAUAGUGAACCAGUACCGUGAGGGAAAGGCGAAAAGAACCCCGGCGAGGGGAGUGAAAAAGAACCUGAAACCGUGUACGUACAAGCAGUGGGAGCACGCUUAGGCGUGUGACUGCGUACCUUUUGUAUAAUGGGUCAGCGACUUAUAUUCUGUAGCAAGGUUAACCGAAUAGGGGAGCCGAAGGGAAACCGAGUCUUAACUGGGCGUUAAGUUGCAGGGUAUAGACCCGAAACCCGGUGAUCUAGCCAUGGGCAGGUUGAAGGUUGGGUAACACUAACUGGAGGACCGAACCGACUAAUGUUGAAAAAUUAGCGGAUGACUUGUGGCUGGGGGUGAAAGGCCAAUCAAACCGGGAGAUAGCUGGUUCUCCCCGAAAGCUAUUUAGGUAGCGCCUCGUGAAUUCAUCUCCGGGGGUAGAGCACUGUUUCGGCAAGGGGGUCAUCCCGACUUACCAACCCGAUGCAAACUGCGAAUACCGGAGAAUGUUAUCACGGGAGACACACGGCGGGUGCUAACGUCCGUCGUGAAGAGGGAAACAACCCAGACCGCCAGCUAAGGUCCCAAAGUCAUGGUUAAGUGGGAAACGAUGUGGGAAGGCCCAGACAGCCAGGAUGUUGGCUUAGAAGCAGCCAUCAUUUAAAGAAAGCGUAAUAGCUCACUGGUCGAGUCGGCCUGCGCGGAAGAUGUAACGGGGCUAAACCAUGCACCGAAGCUGCGGCAGCGACGCUGAUGCGUUGUUGGGUAGGGGAGCGUUCUGUAAGCCUGCGAAGGUGUGCUGUGAGGCAUGCUGGAGGUAUCAGAAGUGCGAAUGCUGACAUAAGUAACGAUAAAGCGGGUGAAAAGCCCGCUCGCCGGAAGACCAAGGGUUCCUGUCCAACGUUAAUCGGGGCAGGGUGAGUCGACCCCUAAGGCGAGGCCGAAAGGCGUAGUCGAUGGGAAACAGGUUAAUAUUCCUGUACUUGGUGUUACUGCGAAGGGGGGACGGAGAAGGCUAUGUUGGCCGGGCGACGGUUGUCCCGGUUUAAGCGUGUAGGCUGGUUUUCCAGGCAAAUCCGGAAAAUCAAGGCUGAGGCGUGAUGACGAGGCACUACGGUGCUGAAGCAACAAAUGCCCUGCUUCCAGGAAAAGCCUCUAAGCAUCAGGUAACAUCAAAUCGUACCCCAAACCGACACAGGUGGUCAGGUAGAGAAUACCAAGGCGCUUGAGAGAACUCGGGUGAAGGAACUAGGCAAAAUGGUGCCGUAACUUCGGGAGAAGGCACGCUGAUAUGUAGGUGAAGUCCCUCGCGGAUGGAGCUGAAAUCAGUCGAAGAUACCAGCUGGCUGCAACUGUUUAUUAAAAACACAGCACUGUGCAAACACGAAAGUGGACGUAUACGGUGUGACGCCUGCCCGGUGCCGGAAGGUUAAUUGAUGGGGUCAGCGCAAGCGAAGCUCUUGAUCGAAGCCCCGGUAAACGGCGGCCGUAACUAUAACGGUCCUAAGGUAGCGAAAUUCCUUGUCGGGUAAGUUCCGACCUGCACGAAUGGCGUAAUGAUGGCCAGGCUGUCUCCACCCGAGACUCAGUGAAAUUGAACUCGCUGUGAAGAUGCAGUGUACCCGCGGCAAGACGGAAAGACCCCGUGAACCUUUACUAUAGCUUGACACUGAACAUUGAGCCUUGAUGUGUAGGAUAGGUGGGAGGCUUUGAAGUGUGGACGCCAGUCUGCAUGGAGCCGACCUUGAAAUACCACCCUUUAAUGUUUGAUGUUCUAACGUUGACCCGUAAUCCGGGUUGCGGACAGUGUCUGGUGGGUAGUUUGACUGGGGCGGUCUCCUCCUAAAGAGUAACGGAGGAGCACGAAGGUUGGCUAAUCCUGGUCGGACAUCAGGAGGUUAGUGCAAUGGCAUAAGCCAGCUUGACUGCGAGCGUGACGGCGCGAGCAGGUGCGAAAGCAGGUCAUAGUGAUCCGGUGGUUCUGAAUGGAAGGGCCAUCGCUCAACGGAUAAAAGGUACUCCGGGGAUAACAGGCUGAUACCGCCCAAGAGUUCAUAUCGACGGCGGUGUUUGGCACCUCGAUGUCGGCUCAUCACAUCCUGGGGCUGAAGUAGGUCCCAAGGGUAUGGCUGUUCGCCAUUUAAAGUGGUACGCGAGCUGGGUUUAGAACGUCGUGAGACAGUUCGGUCCCUAUCUGCCGUGGGCGCUGGAGAACUGAGGGGGGCUGCUCCUAGUACGAGAGGACCGGAGUGGACGCAUCACUGGUGUUCGGGUUGUCAUGCCAAUGGCACUGCCCGGUAGCUAAAUGCGGAAGAGAUAAGUGCUGAAAGCAUCUAAGCACGAAACUUGCCCCGAGAUGAGUUCUCCCUGACCCUUUAAGGGUCCUGAAGGAACGUUGAAGACGACGACGUUGAUAGGCCGGGUGUGUAAGCGCAGCGAUGCGUUGAGCUAACCGGUACUAAUGAACCGUGAGGCUUAACCUU